GUGCAGCAGUCGAAAUCUUCGGCAAUGGGCGCAAGCCUGACCGAGCGACGCCGCGUGGAGGACGAAGGCCUUCGGGUUGUAAACUCCUGUCGAGGGGAAGAAGGUCCGCAAGGGCUUGACUGAUCCCUGGAGGAAGCACGGGCUAAGUUCGUGCCAGCAGCCGCGGUAAGACGAACCGUGCGAACGUUAUUCGGAAUCACUGGGCUUAAAGCGCGUGUAGGUGGGGCGGCACGUCGGUCGCUGAAAUCCCCCGGCGUAACCGGGUAACGGGCGGCCGACUACGACCGCCCUUCGUAGGGGCGGUAGGGGGGCGGGU
rnacentral:rRNA from 1 species